rnacentral:rRNA from 1 species
GACGAACGCUGGCGGCGUGCUUAACACAUGCAAGUCGAGCGGUAAGGCCCUUUCGGGGGUACACGAGCGGCGAACGGGUGAGUAACACGUGGGUGACCUGCCCUUAGCUCUGGGAUAAGCCUGGGAAACCGGGUCUAAUACCGGAUAUGACUCCGCGGCGCAUGUUGUGGGGUGGAAAGCCUUGUGCGGCUGGAGAUGGGCCCGCGGCCUAUCAGCUUGUUGGUGGGGUGAUGGCCUACCAAGGCGACGACGGGUAGCCGGCCUGAGAGGGCGACCGGCCACACUGGGACUGAGACACGGCCCAGACUCCUACGGGAGGCAGCAGUGGGGAAUCUUGCGCAAUGGGCGAAAGCCUGACGCAGCGACGCCGCGUGA